AGCGUAAAUGCAAUCGCCAGAAGUAAAAAGCGAACAUUUGGACUAUAAACGAACUACACCACGGUCACAUGAGCACGAGUUUAACGAGGCUGUAAAGCCGGACGAGUCGGCGUAAGGGCAUUUAGUAGUCUCAUUUAGCCACUUGUUAGUAACCGCUUUUUUUAAGACACGUAAAAGCUUCAAAAUUCAAGAGUGGGAUAUUUACUGACGUAUUUUAUAUUGUGGAACAUUAAAAUCUCUUAUCGAGGGAACCGGAAGUGCAUAAAUGCUAAUGUUGGAGCCUUAAUGUAGUUUUUUGUUUGUUUUACUUUUAUCUGUGGAUAACACUGAGUUAAUGUGUGCAAGCAGUUCUGACACUGACCACAGGGUGGAACAUUGAUAUGAAAGUGCAUAAUAUAGGGAAGCGCUCAGGUGAUGAGGAUCAGGUGAUGAGGAUCAGGUGUGUUUGAGACGGGAAGCCAAACAGUUUUUGACCGUGACAGGCCGUGCUGUGCAGUGUGUAACCGUGUGUAAUUUGCUGGCUUAAAUUCUGCUGAAUAGAAACGGGAUUCCCGCCUGCAAAGCACCGUGUUUACAACACCGUGAGAAUUCAAUGACAAGGUGUUUAUG